UGCGUAGGUGGUUUGAUAAGUCAGCGGUGAAAGUUUGCAGCUUAACUGUAAAAUGCCGUUGAAACUGUCGGACUUGAGUGUAAAUGAGGUAGGCGGAAUGCGUGGUGUAGCGGUGAAAUGCAUAGAUAUCACGCAGAACUCCGAUUGCGAAGGCAGCUUACUAAGCUACAACUGACACUGAAGCACGAAAGCGUGGGGAUCAAACA
rnacentral:rRNA from 1 species